ACGAGGAACAGGAGGCCAUGUGCUACAGGGCGGAGGUGGUUUCAGGGAUCUAUGGAUCUUUCCUGAGGAGCAGCCAACUCCUAUGAAGGCAUGAGGCCCAGCCGGCGGUUGACGGACGCACAGGAGCACACACACCUCUCAGGGUCUGAAAUGCCUUGACAGUCGUAAAAACAGUUGAUUAUUGACCCCACGUCUUAUGCUGUUGUUCAGACCACAGAAGAGUUGGCAUUCAGAAGGCCUUUCCACACCGCCGACAGUAGAACCCUCUGGAUAGCAGAGGGGAAGCGCUGCUAAUUUCGAUGAAGCCGACCUGAGGCUGUGACCCUGCUACCUGAGCCUCUCCAGCUGCAGUUGGUUUUCGCCUCUGAAGAGACCAAUACACCAUUAUCUGGCUGCACAAGGAGUGCUGCAGCAGUCCCACUGUCACACGUGACCCCCGCAGGCAAGUUCUUACUUACAUUCGACGCUCUCUGGCAGCACAGGAAUGUUUGUCAACACAACCUUCAGUUUAAGCGUAUAAAGAAGCCGUUCUGGACAUAUGGAACAGCAAAGAAGAUGAUAGAAAAGGAAAUAUAAACUGAGAUGGUUUCCAGAAAUGUGUGAACAGCCAAGAAAGGACAGAACCACAGCAGCAGGAAAACCCUAAUGUAAUAGUUAAAACCCAAUGUAAACCACAAUAAAUACGCUGCCCUCCAGAUUUCAGUUAGGCAACAGGCCCUUUGAUACUUAGAUAAAAUUAGCUCAAGCCUUUAUCCCACGUCCCGUGGGAGUCCUGUCCCGUAUAUCCCGGAAU